AUCAACAUGAUCCUCCUAAGACACUCCUUAUUAAAAGGAAAAAACAUCAUCAUUCUACAAAGCAUAUACUACUAUAUAUACUAUUACGUACUAUUAUGUAUAUCUUUAUUACUAUAUAAGUAGUGUAGUAUAUAUACGAGAUUAGUACUUUUGAGUAUAUUAAUAUACAACUAUGUACUAUUCUUAAACUGCCCGAUUGAC
rnacentral:lncRNA from 1 species